CCAGACUCCUACGGGAGGCAGCAGUGGGGAAUAUUGGGCAAUGGGCGCAAGCCUGACCCAGCAAUGCCGCGUGAAGGAAGAAGGCUUUCGGGUUGUAAACUUCUUUGACAGGGGAAGAGCAGAAGACGGUACCCUGAAAACAAGCCACGGCUAACUACGUGCCAGCAGCCGCGGUAAUACGUAGGUGGCAAGCGUUGUCCGGAUUUACUGGGUGUAAAGGGCGUGUAGGCGGGGACGCAAGUCAGAUGUGAAAACCACGGGCUCAACCUGUGGCCUGCAUUUGAAACUGUGUUUCUUGAGUACUGGAGAGGCAGACGGAAUUCCUAGUGUAGCGGUGAAAUGCGUAGAUAUUAGGAGGAACACCAGUGGCGAAGGCGGCCUGCUGGACGACAACUGACGGUGAGGCGCGAAAGCGUGGGGAGCAAACAGGAUUAGAUACCCGAGUA
rnacentral:rRNA from 1 species